ACACUGCUGAGGAGUCCAAUACUAGGACGAAACGGCCGUUCAGUGC
rnacentral:hammerhead_ribozyme from 1 species